AUUGAACGCUGGCGGCAUGCUUUACACAUGCAAGUCGAACGGUAACAGGCCUUCGGGUGCUGACGAGUGGCGAACGGGUGAGUAGUGCAUCGGAACGUGCACAGAGGUGGGGGAUAACGCAGCGAAAGCUGUGAUAAUACCGCAUGUGAUCUGAGGAUGAAAGCGGGGGACCAGGCAGCAAUGUUUGGCCUCGCGCCUUUGGAGCGGCCGAUGUCAGAUUAGGUAGUUGGUGGGGUAAAGGCCUACCAAGCCGACGAUCUGUAGCGGGUCUGAGAGGACGACCAGCCACACUGGGACUGAGACACGGCCCAGACUCCUACGGGAGGCAGCAGUGGGGAAUUUUGGACAAUGGGCGCAAGCCUGAUCCAGCAAUGCCGCGUGCGGGAAGAAGGCCUUCGGGUUGUAAACCGCUUUUGUACGGAACGAAAAGGCUCUGGCUAAUACCUGGGGCUGAUGACGGUACCGUAAGAAUAAGCACCGGCUAACUACGUG
rnacentral:rRNA from 1 species